rnacentral:lncRNA from 1 species
UUUUUUUUGUUUUUGUCUUUUUAGGGCUACACCUGUGGCAUAUGGAGGUUCUCGGUCUAGGGGUCGAUUCAGAGCUGUAGCCAGCCAGCCUAUGCUACAGCUACAACAAUGCGGGAGCCGGGAGGUCCCGUGGUGGCACCGUGGUUAACAAAUCCAACUAGGAACCAUGAGGUUGUGGGUUCGAUUCCUGGCCUUGCUCAGUGGGUUAAGGAUCUGGUGUUGCCAUGAGCUGUGCAAUGCUGAACACUUAACCCACUGAGCGAGGCCAGGGAUCAAACCUGCGUCCUCAUGGCUGCUAGUCAGAUUUGUUUCUGCUGAGCCACGAUGGGAACUCCAUCACUGCAUUUAUAUGUCAGUUUCUGGAAGCCUCUGCCAGGACUCAGAAUUCUCAUGUGCACAUCGGAAAGCUGAACGAUCCAAACUCUUGGUCUCUCCCAGUCCUCUGAGCACGUGCGCAGCCUUCUUUACCACAAAGCUCCAAGCAUUUACUAUACAACAAACUACCCAAAAACUUGGUGGCUUAAAACCACCCCCAUUUUAUUAUCUUACAAUUGUGUGGACUAGAAAUUCAGAGAGGGCUCAGCCAUCCCAUUUUUCUGCUUCACCUGGUAUCAAUUCACUUGGUAUCAAGGAAGGAAGACCCAAGACGGGCGCACUCACAUGUCUCGUGCCCACGAUGGCUGGAAAGCUGAGCCCAGCUGGGACUGUCCUCUGGAGCACAUGUUGGUGGCCUUUCAAGACAUCAAGGGGAAUCAAGGGAAUGAAUUUUUUUUUUUUUUUUUGUCUUUUGUCUUUUGUCUUUUGUCUUUUUAGGGCUGUACUAGGCUAGGGGUUGAAUCAGAGCUGUAGCUGCUGGCCUACACCACAGCCACAGCAAUGCAGGAUCCGAGCCGCAUCUGCAACCUACACCACAGCUCACGGCAGAUCCUUAACCACUGAGCGAGGCCAGGGAUGGAACCCGAAACCUCAUGCUUGCUAGUCGGGUUCGUUAACCAUUGAGCCUCAGAGGGAACUCCAAGGGAGUGAAUUCUUUCGUGGCAGCUCCCAUGAGCCUCCUAGAGCUCAGAGCUCCCAGGACAGCACUCGAAGGAGCCCAGCAGGGAGUUUCUGGUCUAACCACAGAAGUCACAGAAUAUCACUUCCACUGCAUCCUGCAGGCCAAGAAAACCACCAAGGUGAGGUCAGAUUCAAGUAGAGGGAAACUGGGCCCUACCCCUCAAUGGAAGAAGUAGCAAAGGAAUUGUGGCCAUUAUUGACCCAUUACGAAUGUGGUUCACAGAAGAAGGAAAAUAGGGAAUUCCAAUCACUAACCCUAUGGUCAGAGAAAAAAAACCUAGACUCAGUAUUAAAAUGUUAGGAAAGGUACCUUUUGUGUUUUAAACUAAAAUGUUUAAGAUAUGUAGGUCCUAUUUUUAUAUUGAUUCACCAACCUUUUUUUUAACUAGUUAUAUAGGAUAAGAUCUUAUCUCUCUAUUGUAAGUUUUUAAAAAUUCAAGAACUUAGAUCCAUGACAAUUUCUUAUUUGUAUUUAAGGAUUCAAAGCACAAAGCACAGGGUGUACUUGCUAAUUCAGGUCAAAAAAAAAAAAAAAGGUGCCCACUCUUUUUUUGCCCCAGAGCUGCCUGCUCCAGCCUUGGUGGUUUGUAUGGCAAGGCUCCAUUUCCUAGAACUAAGCUGCCUUUGCUGCCAGCCGUCUGCACCGCCUCUUUCCAGUUCAUCUUGGCUGAAGCUGCCAUUUUCCAGAGCAAACCUCAGCCCCAUUCCUUUCAAAACACAGAGACUGUCUCUGACAGCUUCUAACUUAAGCUGGGUGAUGCUCCCACUCCAGAAUUCCAAGAAAAAUUAAUGCUUUCCUAACUCAGGUUUUGAAAUACCCACCACCUACCAACCCCUACAGCUCGGGCCCCUGAGAGUUUCACUAGAGCUCCAACCCCAGGGGCCCUCACACCCCCAGCACCCCUAGACGCUCUCAGUGGCCCAUCAGAAGCUGCACACCUGAGUCCUCUCAUCCUUUGUUGCCCUGGGAACCAUCUCUGGGCUUCCUCUCCCCUUCCCCCACCCCAAAGGUGCCUUCUCCACCUGUCUCUGGCAAAAUAGUUCUCGAACUUUCUACUUCCCCAUUCAGCCCUUUCCAGUUAACCUCACCCAAGGUUGUCCUCGCCUCGUGUCGAAUCCUAGCACUCCUCUGCCAGGGCUCCAGGCCGCCUCUGUCCCUGUAGCACGUGCAGUGCUCGAAGACCACGUCUAGCCUGUCGCACGUUUCCCUUUUCCCCCAAAAUGUGAACUUUGGUCACUCUCAUGGCAGGUGAAAGGGAUCAAAUGAGGCCAGGGAAUUGAACCUUAGCCACAGCAGUGACAACACUGAAUUUUUAACUACUAGGCCACCAGGGAACUCCCAAAAUGCAAACAUCUUGAGAGCAGAGACCAUGGUUUGUGUGUGGUGUAUGUGAGAGAGAGAGAGAGGGAGACGGGGGUGGGGGGGAGAUUUUAAAAUUAUUAUUCAGUAUAGAGAAUAGACUUGGGCUUCCUAAUACAUGCUCUAAAGAUGCAUAUUGAAAUUAAAUGUCAAAAAAAUGUACAUAAAUUGUGCCAGGCACUGGACUAAGCACUUUACAUUAUUUAAUUCAUACAUUUAAUCCUCAUCCUCUACCACUAUUACUUCCUCUAGGGUCUAAUUUUAACAAAAUUCCACCAAAAGGAAGAAUUGGGACAUCCCACAUAACUCAUUUGGACUGGGAUGUGGCACCCGGAACAAGCGCCCCUCCGAACGCCCGAAGACGGCGUGCGCGUUGUCAGGUGCGAUCAGCGACUUCCUGGCAGGUGUGCUCAGGUGUGUUAGGAGGGACACAGCUCUGACGGCGGGCAGAGAAUGAGACCGAUAAGCCUGUGCUCUGGGAUCCAGGCGCUCACAAGCAAGGGGCAAGAGGAGGUUUCCUGUUCUGGAUGAGAGGAGUCGUGUAGGAGGUAUGAGGAGGUAUGAGGAAUGAAGCCGUGGAAGUGAUGGGUGGACCUCAAACCCCACACCCCCAAAAAGGUCUGCCUUUAAUUGUUUUAUUAGAGAGUUCACCAAAAUUGGAACCAGGAAGAAAAAGAACAAGCCACAGAAAUUUGUUCUUGGCUCCAGUCAGACAGCUGAGCCCCAAACUGCGAUUCUAAAGUCUGUUUGCUAUUGAACAGGCGAAUCGAGGACCAAAAGGCACUGGCACAUCUAGUGGGCUCACAGGAGCCAUGGCCAAGUUGAGGGUUAGGGACAUGUGCCAGCAGCACGCUCGGGUACACUCUGUCCCUGCCCGAGUCUACUGCAGUAAUUAGCUUUGCUCAUUAGUUUCAAGUAAAUAAUCUCCUUGUCACAGCUGGGAUCCUUUAUCAGAACAGUGGACAUCAGGGUUUGCAAAAGCAAAGGAUCCCCCCCCCCACCCCCAGAAUUCCCUGGAACACUAAGUCAUGACCCAGAGAUUUGAAUGAAGGAAGGAAAUGUCCAAAGAGGUCUAAAAUUCCAAGGAAUAGCUCUGUCUAGAGAGUGGAAGCAUUGGGUAUGAAAAACAAAUGAAAAACAACAACAAAACCUUUGAAAUGGAUAUUGAUCUGUUCUUCAACUCAGUUUAAGUUCAGAUCAACAAAGACACGUAACUAUCUGCUAUAUAGCAGGAAAUGCAGCCCAGACCUCAGAGAUCCUGGGAGGAAACGGGUAAUAAAUGCACAAAUAGCAUUAACAUGCUAGUAAUGCACUCUGAUGGCAGAAUGUGCGGAGGGAGGGUGCCCAAGCCUGCCUGGGUCUUCAGGGAGGAUUUCCCGGAGGUGUGACUGGCACUGAUUUAAGACGAGAAGGAGCAGCGAGGAGCACUUCUGCAAGACUUGCAGAGGAGGGAGGCCUGGGCAUGAUUCUGAGCCUUUUAAAACAAUGGGCAAAAUACAUACGCUCAACCUUUUAUCCCUUGGUAUCCCAUCAUUAUGCCCAUUUCGAGGAAGGAGAAAAUGAAGAGAGAUUUCAACGCUGCCCGUGGAUUGCCUGUGGGGUUGGGGUUGAGGGAGGACAAUGCUGGGAUAGUGAGGCAGGACCCUACC